rnacentral:miRNA from 1 species
AGUCGCUAACAACACAGCCAAGU